GAGCCAUAGAGCUAAAAAGAGUCGCGACACUCCCAUUGGACUCCGUUGUACGCUGUUUGCCGCCCACUUCCGGGGUAUGCAGCCUCGCAUAGUUCCAAAAAGCCAUUCUAUGGCGUCGGACAUCAUUCACUUCCAUUGCUGACUCUCGAGUAACUUCUGAGCUCCAGCCAGCAUAAACACCAGUGCAUGCGUCGCUUGUCCUUGGUGGUCAGGCAGCGUGAUGUUGCCAAAUAGCCUCCCCGUUCCCAGAUGGAGCUCCACGCCUGGAGUAAUGGACAUUUCAUCUAAGUUGCCUUAUUAGGUCCUCCACAAUUGCACUAUUAGACCCUGGCAGUCUGGUCCCUGGAGCACCUGGCCCUGGCAAAGUUGGUUCAUCGUUGCUGGCUCCUGACUGACUGGCCCUCGGCACACACAUCCCUGGAUCACCUGCCCCUGGUAAAGUAGCCUCUUGGUCGCUCUCUCUGUCUCCUGUCAUGUCCCUUUCCUUGCCCUCAAAAUCCACCUCAAUUUCUCCCUCAACCUCUGUAACAAUAACAAGGUAAUGUUGCUGUUAUAUGUAUUUUGCAUUUGCACCUACUGUUCAAUAAAAGGGUACACUACACUCCUAUAGAAAAUAAAUUAAAGCGAAAAAUUAC